rnacentral:rRNA from 1 species
CGCGUAGGCGGCUUGUCAGGUCUGACGUGAAAUGCCGGGGCUCAACCCCGGACGUGCAUCAGAAACCGGCUUGCUAGAGUCUGGGAGAGGGAAGUGGAAUUCCUGGUGUAGCGGUGAAAAUGCGCAGAUAUCAGGAGGAACACCGGUAGCGAAGGCUGCUUCCUGGAACAGUACUGACGCUGAGGCGCGAAAAGCUAGGGGAGCAAAACGA